rnacentral:rRNA from 1 species
ACGCACGCGUGAGGCAUGCCUAACACAUGUGAGUCGAACGUCGGGAUCAAUACUCGAAUGGCGGACUGAUGAGUGAUACGUGCGCACUCCCCUAAUGGUAGGGGAUAACUGCGGGAAUCUGCAGCUAAUACCUUAUUCUCCGUACGGCCUAAAGAUUUAUAGCCAUUUGAGAGGCUCACGUCGUAUCAACUCGUUGAUGGUGUAACGGUCCGCCAAGAUUAUGAUCCGUAGCUGGUCUGAGAGGAUGUUCAGCCUCAUUGGGAAUGAGAUACUGUCCAGUCUCCUACAAUAGGCAGCAGCGGGGAAUAUUGAACAAUGGUGGAAACCGUAAUCCAGCAAUUCCGAAUGACUGAUGAAGGCGUUAGGGUGGUUAAGCUCUUUAGACUGCCACGAUGGUGACGGUCCCUGCAGAAGAAGCCCGGGCUAAUUUCGUGCCAGCAGCCGCGGUAAUACGAAGGGGCCUAGCGUUGUUGGGAAUCUCUGGGCGUAAAGGGCGCGUAGGCGGCGCGACAAGUCAGGCGUGAAAGCCUCGGGCUCAACCCGGGAAUUGCGCUUGAUACUGUCGUGCUUGAGGCCGGGAGAGGAUGGCGGAAUUCCCAGGGUAGAGGUAAAAUUGGUAGAUUUUGGGAAGAACACCAGUGGGGAAGGGGCCCCUUUGUUCGGGUACUGACGUUGAGGCGGGAAAGGGUGGGGAGCAACCAGGUUUAGAUACCCUGUUAUUCCACGCGGUAAAGAAUGUCUGCUAGCUGUUGGGGAACCUACUUUCUGGGUGCCGCAGCUAACGCGUUAAGCACCCCGCCUGGGGAGUACGGUCGCAAGAUUA